rnacentral:rRNA from 1 species
UACGUAGGGAGCGAGCGUUGUCCGGAUUCAUUGGGCGUAAAGAGCUCGUAGGCGGCUUGGUAAGUCGGAUGUGAAACCUCCAGGCUCAACCUGGAGUCGCCAUCCGAUACUGCCAUGGCUUGAGUCCGGUAGGGGACCACGGAAUUCCUGGUGUAGCGGUGAAAUGCGCAGAUAUCAGGAGGAACACCGGUGGCGAAGGCGGUGGUCUGGGCCGGUACUGACGCUGAGGAGCGAAAGCGUGGGGAGCGAACAGG